rnacentral:rRNA from 2 species
GACAGGGGUCUCGAGCGUUAAUCGGAAUCACUGGGCUUAAAGGGUGCGUAGGCGGGCCUGUAAGUGUCCUGUGAAAUCCCCCGGCUCAACCGGGGAACUGCGGGGCAUACUGCGGGUCUUGAGGAAGGUAGGCGCCGAGGGAACAGUAGGUGGAGCGGUGAAAUGCGUAGAUAUCUACUGGAACGCCGAUGGUGAAGACGCUCGGCUGGGCCUUUCCUGACGCUGAGGCACGAAAGCGUGGGGAGCAAACAGG